UACGUAGGCAGCAAGCGUUGUUCGGAAUUAUUGGGCGUAAAGGGCUCGUAGGCGGUCUGUCACGUCGGGAGUGAAAACUCAGGGCUUAACCCUGAGCCUGCUUCCGAUACGGGCAGACUAGAGGUAUGCAGGGGAGAACGGAAUUCCUGGUGUAGCGGUGAAAUGCGCAGAUAUCAGGAGGAACACCGGUGGCGAAGGCGGUUCUCUGGGCAUUACCUGACGCUGAGGAGCGAAAGUGUGGGGAGCGAACAGG
rnacentral:rRNA from 1 species